GAGUUUGAUCAUGGCUCAGAGCGAACGCUGGCGGCAUGCUUAACACAUGCAAGUCGCACGGGCAGGGGUAACUCUGUCAGUGGCGGACGGGGUGAGUAACGCGUAGGUAUCUAUCCUUGGGUGGGGGACAACUGUGGGAAACUACAGCUAAUACCGCAUGAUAACUGAGGUUUAAAGGCGCAAGUCGCCUGGGGAGGAGCCUGCGUACGAUUAGCUAGUUGGUGGGGUAAAGGCCUACCAAGGCGACGAUCGUUAGCUGGUCUGAGAGGAUGAUCAGCUACAUUGGGACUGAGACACGGCCCAAACUCCUACGGGAGGCAGCAGUGGGGAAUAUUGGACAAUGGGCGAAAGCCUGAUCCAGCAAUGCCGCGUGUGUGAAGAAGGUCUUCGGAUUGUAAAGCACUUUCGACGGGGACGAUGAUGACGGUACCCGUAGAAGAAGCCCCGGCUAACUUCGUGCCAGCAGCCGCAGUAAU
rnacentral:rRNA from 1 species